rnacentral:lncRNA from 1 species
GGGAAUCUGGGGAAGACUGUAUUGCAGUAUCUUCCAUCUUCUCUUGACAUACCAGAAACUUGAUCAUCUGACUAAGUCUGUGGAACUCCCUGCUGAAAGGCAGUUAUGGAGCUUGGAGUGAAGAAGGCACUCUGCGCACAUUCGG